UUACGGCCAUAUCACGUUGAAACACCGCUUCCCGUGCAAUCCUCGUAGUUAAGCAACAUCCAGCUUGGCCAGUACCUCGAUGGGUAAUUUCUUGAGAAUAGCAGGUGCUGUAAG